GAUGAACGCUGGCGGCGUGCCUAAUACAUGCAAGUCGAGCGAACAGACGAGGAGCUUGCUCCUCUGACGUUAGCGGCGGACGGGUGAGUAACACGUGGAUAACCUACCUAUAAGACUGGGAUAACUUUGGGAAACCGGAGCUAAUACCGGAUAAUAUAUUGAACCGCAUGGUUCAAUAGUGAAAGACGGUUUUGCUGUCACUUAUAGAUGGAUCCGCGCCGCAUUAGUUAGUUGGUAAGGUAACGGCUUACCAAGGCAACGAUGCGUAGCCGACCUGAGAGGGUGAUCGGCCACACUGGAACUGAGACACGGUCCAGACUCCUACGGGAGGCAGCAGUAGGGAAUCUUCCGCAAUGGGCGAAAGCCUGACGGAGCAACGCCGCGUGAGUGAUGAAGGUCUUCGGAUCGUAAAACUCUGUUAUUAGGAAAGAACAAAUGUGUAAGUAACUAUGCACGUCUUGACGGUACCUAAUCAGAAAGCCACGGCUAACUACGUG
rnacentral:rRNA from 1 species